AUGUUGUCAACGAGUGGUUUUGGGUGGGAUUGGAUCCAUAACAAGCUUAUGGUUGAUAGUGAGGACGUGUGGAGCAACUAUGUCAAGGCAAACAAAGAUGCCGCUUGCUACAGGCACAAUGUCACAAAGUUUUGGGACUCAAUCAGCCUUGUCUUCUCGAAGGAUCAUGCCACGGGAAUCGGAGCCAGAACCGCCGCUGAAAGUGUUGCGGAAAUGGCUGCGGAGAAUGUGAACAAUGUCAACAUCGAGUCUGCCGUGACAUCUUCUACUCAAACCGGUGAGGAAUAGAAGAAGAAAAGAUACCGAUCAGAUGACUCAAUUGCAUCUAUACUUGGUGAAAAACUGGAUAAUUUUACAAGCGCCUACAAAGCCGAUAUUGCUCAAGUUGUUCCUCGCGAUAAACCCUCCUCUCCUAAAGAAAUACUUGAUGCUCUCAAUGCAAUUGCUGGACUUGAUGAUGAUGACUUGCUGGCAGCUUAUGAUAUCCUCAUAGCAGAUGACCGCAAGUUCAAGGCUCUUAUGGCUCUGCCUGAAAGAAUGAAGAAUAAAUGGAUCCUCAAACAAAUCAGCCAAUGA
rnacentral:rRNA from 1 species